CAAAUACCUUAAGUUAAACACGUUUCUUCCAGCAUCCUGAAGUGCACCCCAUGGGGAGCAGGUUGAUAUUUUUUGGGCACAAAAAAUCCCAUUCCCCAGUGCCUAGGGUGGGGUGGGGACAUGUCCCUGUGGCCACUGAGGGCACAUCAGCCACUGGCUGUCCCCAGGUCACUCAUCCCUGGGGAUGGGGACUUAUAAUGAUAAAAAAAAUCACAUUUUCUGUGAAAAAUAGCACUUACAGACACAACCUUAAACCCAGCCCCGGUUUUCUACCAAAGGAAAAGUUUGGAUAAGGACUUUUAUCUGCCCCACACUGAAUUUCACCCAACCCUGAACUCUGACCCUUCCAGGACUUCCCGUUCUGCUCUGAAAAAAGUUCCUGCUCACCCCAGGAGCCAGCACAAAGCCUGGGCAGAGAAGUGGCUUCCUUGGCACCCAGAUCUUUUUCCUGAUUAUUAUUCCGGUCAUUCACCCUCUUUCUCUCUCAAUCUUGAGGAAGGAGCAGUGAUUUUGGAAGCAUUCCCACAGGAGCCUCAAAUAAUCAACAACUGCCGUGGCGUGCAUCCCUGGAAAUAAUUACAGACAACCUGGGAACAAAGGGAUCCGUGUUGUCAGCUGUUGUGGGAGACAGCUGAAGUGCAAACAGGCUCCUGCUCCAUCCAUCAGCCCGGCACGGGCCAGGCACAGACGCUUCACUUAAAGAACAACGUUUGCAGAAGAGGAGCUGGGCCACAAAUCAAUUCCCACUGGGAGGCAGGGGAUGGUUUGAACCGGAGCAGAGGUUUCCUGGAAUGAUCUUCUGGUGGGAUGAGGGGAUGAGAGCUGGAACAGAGGUCUCUGGGCAGCCAGAGCUCUUCCUAACGAUCUGUGCUGGAUGGAAAGAACCCCAAAGAGCUUUCUCUAUUGAAUUUCCAUCGUCUUCCCCAUCCCAUUUGCAUUUAAAGCCAGCUUUCAGCUGCUGUGCGUGGGACAAGACACAUUUCUGCUCAAUACCCAUCCAAUUCUGCCUGCUGUGGAUUCAGGCUGGUGGCACGGAUUGCUGCCGAUGCAGAUGGAGUUGCCUGAGAAUCCAGAGUUUCCUGGCCCUGGGAAAUCUUGCAGGGAAAUAACUGCAGCUCUGGUUGAGCCAACACCUGGCAGGAGCACGAUUUCCAUUCCGUGUCCAACACUGCCUCCCUGGCUCUUUUGAUCUUUCCUGUGGUGCCAGGGAUUAAUAUCAUUUCAACAGCACUUUCAGAAGAAUCAGCAAAUUGCAUUUGCGUCUCACCGGAGGCUCCGGAGCGACCUUUCCCUUCAGGGAGACGUGGAGUGAUGGGAGCAGUGGGGUGGGCUGAGAGCAGGGAGCUGCCAGGAGAAGGGAGAUCCACGGGCUCUCAGCUCCUGGUGACUGCUCCAUCCCUCAGCAGCUCUGCUGGAAGCGUGUGCCGAGCACCAACCCAAAAAUAAAAGGGCUGUUGCUAAUAAAUUGUGCUGCUUG
rnacentral:lncRNA from 1 species